CCCGCCCGCCGCGGGGCAGCGCCGGGGCGCCAACGCCGAGGGGCUGUUCUUUUAAAAAACCCUCCUUUUCUCCGGGCUGAACCCAAAGCCUUCUUUUCUCCGGGCUGAACAAUCCCACCUCUCAGCCUUUCCGCGUACGAGAGGUGCUCCAGCCCUCUAAUCAUCUUCGUUGCCCUUAGUUCUUGUUUGUAAGAAGUAUCACUGUUUCUGUAUCCUUACACCCUUCAGAGAAAAAAUAGUCAGACUGAAGCACAGCAAAAGGUGAAGAAGUUGCGAUGAGGAACUUGGUGGUACAUGAACUCUGCAAACCAGCUGGACACGACAAACAGCCUUGGUCUGAGGGCACGUGUGGGGUACAGGAGAAGCAGGGAUGAGAUCCAUAUGGAGUCAACACAUCAUUCCUCACGCUACAGAAUGGUGCAAAUACCUCCAGUCAGUGAGGUGGUUGCCUGGUGUGGUGGAGAAUUGGAAUGGGAUAGACACACUAGGAAUAUGAGACUUUUACGUGUACACCCAAGUAAGUCUGAUAAAGAACCCAAGUGGAAAUCUCUUGGUCACAAAGAAUACAAUUACAGAGCGAUAGAGG
rnacentral:lncRNA from 1 species